rnacentral:rRNA from 1 species
GUUAAGAUUAAGUUUUUGAGUGAUUUCGGUUUGAAAAUUGAGGGUGAAAUCUUAUUUUAAAAUAGCGAAGUUGUGAAAAACUGGGUUUGAGGCUAUGAAAGCUUGGGGAUAAAACAGGAUUAGAUACCCUGCUAUACUUAGCUGAAAAUUUUUAUACCUGAUUAGUAAACAGUUAUGUUCUCGAAAAUUAAAGAAUUUGGCGGCAUUUCAGUCUAGUUAGAGGAACCUGUCCUAUAAACGAUAAACCACGUAAAAUUUUACUUUCUCUUGUUUAUUCAGUUAGUAUACCGUCAUUAUUAGAUAAGCUUUACAAGGAUUUAUCUUAAUAGGCUCUCCUAGUAUAUUAGAUCAGGGUGCUGCCGAUGGGGAAGAAGAGAUGGGUUACAAUAACAUUAAGUUAUAACGAAUUGUGAAAUGAAAUUUUCAAUUGAAGGCGGAUUUAAUAGUAAUUAGGUUGUAGCAAGGCCUAGUGAUAAUAGUUCUGAAGUGUGUACAAAUCGCCCGUCGCUCUCACUGCCAAUGU